UGGGGCGUAGCCAAGCGGUAAGGCAACGGGUUUUGGUUCCGCUAUUCGGAGGUUCGAAUCCUUCCGUCCCAG
rnacentral:tRNA from 1 species